GUCAGAAUAGCAACUCACAGGAAAUUGAACAUUUGGAGAACCCAAUAGGUAACUUUUAAGAGAGAAGUAUUUAUGAUAUGAAGGAACAUAAAAGUUUUGUUUUUACUCCCUUUGGUUUUCUUCUGUAAUUCUAGAUUGGGAAGAAAUAACAGAGAGUGCUUGAAGAAUAGAUGUGGCUAGGACAAUAUCUCUGAAUCUCUGAAUGGCCCAUGGUGGUGACCCCCAGCCAGAGUGAACUGUGCAGCAGCAAUGGUGCCCAGUGGGCAGCAACAGUGGAACAGAAGGUGUUGAGGAUGCAGAAACAAUCAAGACAGACAAGGUUCUAGCCACCCUUGAGCUAUAACCAAGUUGGAGAAAAAAGUCAGCAUGCAAGUAAACAAUAAUCAUUCAAGCUAUAUAGGUUGUGCCUCAUGAAACAAAAGGACUUUGUAUGUGAGAGAGUAAUGGAAACCAGGCACAGCUUUUAAGAGAUGAUGUCUAGAAUGGGACCUAAAGAAGAAGGAGCUCUCCAUGCAAAAAUAUAAGAAAAGCCCAUUCUAAGCGAGAGACAUCAGGAAGGACAAAGGAACCGAGGCAGGAAAGAGUUUGGUGUCUUUUAGGAAUAGAUGAGAAUCCAAUCUUGGGCUAAUGAAGCAACACAAGAUUCGCAACAGCAGGGAGUUGCUACUAUCUUUAGCUUGAAGGAGAAAAAGGAGGAGGUUGUAUUACCAGAGCCCAGGGGUGGAGUGACCCAGCAUAACAUAGAAUCUUAGUUGGUAUAUUCAAGAGAAGUUGGAUCCAAAGAAGAGAUACAGCCAUUAUUAGAGAUGCUGCCCCAGAGGGAGAAGGAGAGAUACCUUGAAAAUUUCCCUUAAUCCCUCCAUUCGUUAUAUCACCAAUGACUUCCAGUGACUGAACCAAAUCAGAUGCCAGAUGACACAAUAGCCUAGCAAAUGCAGUCUAAGAAUUCAAUCUCCAACACACCCAGUAGAAAGAGCAAAGGGUAAGAAAUUGACUUGAGAGCAAGUUGGCUCAGAACAGUAGACCCUUAAAUUCAUUAAGGGUCAACUACUUUAAUACUUUGGGAAAAUAAUCCCACUAUGCAGGGAAAGAGGAUGAAUUUUAAAAUGUCAUAUUUUAGGUAUAUAAAGAAAAAUCCUGCCUGACCCUGAUAUAAAGAAAUGAAGAUAUUAGAAAAAAGUGUUGGCUCUACAUGUCCAGGUACUACUGAUCACGACAGCACUUACAGGCUCUAAAUGGUUAACUUCCUGAAAAGUGGCUGUUAUAUGGAAAACCAUAAAACAAUCAUUGGUGAUCCUUGUUUCUAUUUAAAAAAACAUGCUCUUAGGUUCAAGUAGACUGACCCACUUUAGGACUAUCUAUCCCUAGGGAUCUUGUAAAAUGCAGAGAAUGAGAAAAACCUUUAGAAGAUGCUAAACUCUCCGCUUUUAAGCUAACUAGCAUGUUGAACAAUUUAUUUGUACAAUAUGAGAUAUGACCAUAUUGCAUCUCAUCUUAUGGAAUUACUCAAGUUAUAUACAAUUUUCUCAAGUGCUAUUGCUAGUCUGGAUGUAGGAGUGAAGAGAAUAAAUUGAGGGCUUGAUCUAUGUUUGGGGUUUUCAGAGAAGACAUAGAAAUGAAAGAAGAACAGAUUGGUUGAGAAUAUAAUCAAGUGAUUAUGGGUUCUGUAUUGAGCAGAUAAUUUAGUCCAAGAAGAUGCUUAUAGUUAUGAAAGAAAAUUCAGGAUCAAGUACAUGAGGUCUAUAGAAGGUCAAACAGUAGUUAAGAAGGAGUGAAGAAGUGUGAGAGCUAAAGGAUGUAAAGUAGAAGUCAGAAAGUGAGGGCAAUGAGGCAUUCUAGUGCAUGAAUGUGACAGGGAGCAGCUGAAGAGAAUGGAAGUGAUAGUUCUAGUUCAACGGUUCCAGGAACUGCCAUGUUAGGGAGUUAGAAAGUUGCCCACAUGGAUUUGAAAUUUGUCCUUAAUUUAUUCAUCAAAUGUAGUUAGUGCUAUUAUGUCUAUUGUUCAACGUUGCUGAGUAACAAACAACCUCAAAAAUCCUAUCGGCUUCCAAUAACAUUGUGUCUCGUGCUUAUCAGACUGUGGUUUGACUAUUUUCAGUUGAUCUAGGCUGGACCAUGUUGCUCCACGGUGUGAGACUGGAGAACUUUGCUCCAGGAUUUCAGUCUUUUCUAUGUGUGUUUAUUUUAGAGGGCAGGCUGAUGGAGAAGAAGCUACCUGGGUAUGCUCUUCUUAUUGAGAGUGACAGUACAGGAGGCAAAAGCCUAACCACACAAGCAAAUUAAAACCUCAACUCACUUCAUAGCUGCUAAAAUUUCGUUGGCCAAAACAAUUCAUGUUUUAUUAAAAUAAACUGAAAACUGAAAUUAAUAAGAGGUUUUUCUUUUCUAAUGAGUUGUAUUAUAAAAUCAUACGGCAAAAUCUUUGGUUAAGACAGAGUAAAUAUUUCAAAUGAAGAUGCAAU
rnacentral:lncRNA from 10 species